rnacentral:misc_RNA from 1 species
UUAAGUUCAGCGGGUAUCCUCGUCUGAUCUGAGGUCAAGCUUCAGGUUAUGACAGUUUGUUCAGGCGGAAUCCAGACUCACCUCAUAGGAACAAAUAGCGAUUAUACUAUGUUCUAUAGAAGGGUCAGGCCCGCAGAGCGUGCAACUUUAAAGCCAGACUUCCUUCUCAGGACGACAGAGCUCAAGACCAGCUGUAUGGA